ACAGGAAAUGCUCAACUAAGGCAGUGUUCCAAACCAUAAACGUGUUUUUUGUUUUUUUUGGUUUCACCUAUCCAGACCUUCCUUUAUCUGUGAUGGUAAAUGACUAAGAGGCAAGGAGACAAAGUUUGAGUUUGGAACAUGGCCAAAGUGUCUACGGGACGGUUCACAGACAGACACUGUGUUGUGUUCUAAUCAAGACACGGUGUUCUAAUCAAGACACGGUGUUCUAAUCAAGACACGAUGUUCUAAUCAAGACACGGUGUUCUAAUCAAGACACGAUGUUCUAAUCAAGACACGAUGUCUAAUCAAGACACGGUGUUCUAAUCAAGACACGGUGUUCUAAUCAAGACACGAUGUUCAAAUCAAGACACGGUGUUCUAAUCAAGACACGAUGUACUAAUCAAGACAAGGUGUUCUAAUAAAGACACGGUGUUCUAAUCAAGACACGGUGUUCUAAUCAAGACACGGUGUUCUAAUAAAGACACAGUGUUCUAAUCAAGACACAAUGUUCUAAUCAAGACACGGUGUUCUAAUCAAGACACGGUGUUCUAAUCAAGACACGGUGUUCUAAUCAAGACACGGUGUUCUAAUCAAGACACGAUGUUCUAAUCAAGACACAGUGUUCUAAUCAAGACACGAUGUUCUAAUCAAGGCACAGUGUUCUAAUCAAGACACGGUGUUCUAAUCAAGACACAAUGUUCAAAUCAAGACACAGUGUUCUAAUCAAGACACAAUGUUCUAAUCAAGACAAGGUGUUCUAAUAAAGACACAGUGUUCUAAUCAAGACACGGUGUUCUAAUCAAGACACAGUGUUCUAAUCAAGACACAGUGUUCUAAUCAAGACACGGUGUUCUAAUCAAGACACAAUGUUCAAAUCAAGACACAGUGUUCUAAUCAAGACACAAUGUUCUAAUCAAGACAAGGUGUUCUAAUAAAGACACAGUGUUCUAAUCAAGACACGGUGUUCUAAUCAAGACACGGUGUUCUAAUCAAGACACGAUGUUCUAAUCAAGACACGAUGUUCUAAUCAAGACACGAUGUUCUAAUCAAGACAAGGUGUUCUAAUAAAGACAGUGUUGUGUUCUAAUCAAGACACGGUGUUCUAAUCAAGACACAGUGUUCUAAUCAAGACACGGUGUUCUUAUCAACACACCGAUCACAACUACUUGGCAAAACAUUCUCUCUUGAGUUUUAGACAUAAAGACACAAACAAAUAAACACAGUCACACAAGUCCAAAUUGCUACAGUGCAAAGA